rnacentral:lncRNA from 10 species
GUCUCACCCUGUUGCCCAGGCUGGAAUGCAGUGGCACCAUCCUGGCUCACCACAACCUCCACCUACUGGGUUCAAGCGAUUCUCCUGCCCCAGCCUUCCAAGUAGCUGGGACUACAGGUGUUUCUGUAUUUUUAGUAAAGAUGGGGUUUCGCCAUGUUGGCCAGGGUGGUCUCGAACUCCUGACCUCAGGUAAUCCACCUGCCUUGGCCUCCCAAACUGCUGGGAUUACAGGUGUGAGCCACCACACCUGGCCAGAACUCUACUCUUCAGGAACUUAGUGCAUCAGGUACUCAACAUUUCCUCCUAAGCCAUACUGGGCUGCCACUGUUCUUCAUAUAUCAGGUUCAAGCUGAUGGAUCCAAGCCAAAGGACUCCAUAUUCUCCAAAGCCUAUAAGCAGAAUGCUGGUGUGGUGUGGGGGGGGAAGAAGUUCCAUUGUGUCCCUACUGAAGGGACACAGAAGUACCAAAAGGGUCACUGAACUGCCAGGUACCAAGUGGUACCAGGUGCCACGAGGCUGCCAAAGGCAGAGAUGAGCCAAGCCAUCAACUUCAGCUGAGGUUGAGACAUGGCAUCCAUAAAUGCCAAACAGGACCAUACUCUAUGCAGAGAAUAAGGAUCAGAAAAUCAAGUGCAAAACGGGAAGUCUCCCUAGAACCCACAUGUGCUGAUUCAAGACACCCUUAUUCUCAAGCCACAGUGUUACCUAUUCCCUUGCCCCGAACACCCAGAUACCAUUUUGGUGAGGAACAGGAGAAAGGAAAGGGAAUACAAUGUAAAAGGACUGUUUGAAUCAGAAGAGAUUGACAUAUUGAUAUUUGUCCAGUUCCAUGGUUUCUACCCCACACCCAAUAAGAAAGAGGCUUAAGAGGAACAUUAGUUCAUGAGACUAACUGGCUGUUCAUUAAACCCACAGCUGGACUACAUUUUCAGCCUUCCUUGCAGUUAGGUGUAACCAUGUGAAUGGAUCUGGCCAAUAAAAGUGAUCUUGGAAACCAGGUAUUGAAGAUGGUGAGGCCACAGAUGGAAGGCACCUGGAUCCAGAUUUAAAAGAGUUGCCUGCCAAUCAGGAACACCCUUUUUGAGCUUUGGGGAUGUGUUUUAGUUCUCAUAUUCCUGCAUAACAAACUACUCCAAAUUUAGUGGAUUAAAA